rnacentral:rRNA from 1 species
UACGUAGGGUGCAAGCGUUAAUCGGAAUUACUGGGCGUAAAGCGUGCGCAGGCGGCUUUGCAAGACAGAUGUGAAAUCCCCGGGCUUAACCUGGGAACUGCAUUUGUGACUGCAUGGCUGGAGUGCGGCAGAGGGGGAUGGAAUUCCGCGUGUAGCAGUGAAAUGCGUAGAUAUGCGGAGGAACACCGAUGGCGAAGGCAAUCCCCUGGGCCACUACUGACGCUGAGAAGCGAAAGCAUGGGGAGCGAACAGG